rnacentral:rRNA from 1 species
GUGCUUAACACAUGCAAGUCGAACGAGAAAGCUUUAGCUUGCUAGAGCGAGUACAGUGGCGCACGGGUGAGUAACGCGUGGGUAAUCUACCCUUGAAUUUGGGAUAACACUUCGAAAGGGGUGCUAAUACCGGAUAAUAUCGUUUUUUGUUGCGGCAGAAAAGAUCAAAGACAGCCUCUACAUGUAAGCUGUUGUUUGGGGAUGAGCCCGCGUACCAUUAGCUUGUUGGUGGGGUAAUGGCCUACCAAGGCGACGAUGGUUAGCUGGUCUGAGAGGAUGAUCAGCCACACUGGAACUGGAACACGGUCCAGACUCCUACGGGAGGCAGCAGUGAGGUAAUUUUGCGCAAUGGGCGAAAGCCUGACGCAGCAACGCCGCGUGAGUGAUGAAGGAUUUCGGUUCGUAAAGCUCUGUCAAGUGGGAAGAAGUUAUCAUAUAUUAAUAGUAUAUGGUAUUGACGGUACCACUGAAGGAAGCACCGGCUAACUCCGUG